rnacentral:rRNA from 1 species
AGAGUUUGAUCCUGGCUCAGGAUGAACGCUGGCGGCGUGCUUAACACAUGCAAGUCGAACGGACUCAUAUUGAAACCUAGUGAUUUAUGAGUUAGUGGCGGACGGGUGAGUAACGCGUGGAAAACCUGCCGUAUACUGGGGGAUAACACUUAGAAAUAGGUGCUAAUACCGCAUAAGCGCACAGCUUCGCAUGAAGUGGUGUGAAAAACUCUGGUGGUAUACGAUGGUUCCGCGUCUGAUUAGCUUGUUGGUGGGGUAAUGGCUCACCAAGGCGACGAUCAGUAGCCGGCCUGAGAGGGUGAACGGCCACAUUGGGACUGAGACACGGCCCAAACUCCUACGGGAGGCAGCAGUGGGGAAUAUUGCACAAUGGGGGAAGCCCUGAUGCAGCGACGCCGCGUGAGUGAAGAAGUAUUUCGGUAUGUAAAGCUCUAUCAGCAGGGAAGAAAAUGACGGUACCUGAUUAAGAAGCCCCGGCUAACUACGUG